AUACGGAGGACGCGAGCGUUAUCCGGAUUCAUUGGGUUUAAAGGGUGCGCAGGCGGCCGUGCAAGUCAGCGGUGAAAGCCCAGGGCUCAACCCCAUUCUGCCGUUGAUACUGGGUGGCUUGAUUGCGGUCGAGGUUGGCGGAAUUCGUUGUGUAGCGGGGAAAUGCAUAGAUAUGACGAAGAACACCGAUUGCGUAGGCAGCUGACCAGAUCGCAAAUGACGCUCAUGCACGAAAGUGCGGGGAUCGAACAGGAUUAGAUACCCUGGUAGUCCGCACAGUAAACGAUGAAUACUUGUUUUCGGCGAUAUAAUGUCGGAGGCAAAGCGAAAGCGAUAAGUAUUCCACCUGGGGAGUACGGCCGCAAGGUUGAAACUCAAAUGAAUUGGCGGGG
rnacentral:rRNA from 1 species